CUCGGCACUCAUGACAAUUAUAAAUCUAAACAUUAAACCUAUACCUUCAGCCUCUGACUCCAGAUUUCCAAGACACUUUGCAUUGCUUUGGAUGUAAUAGAAAUGUUUUGGGUAAAUAUCAAGACAAUGCAUUAACAUUGUUCAGAACCGAUGAUGUCUGAGCCGCAGAUAUUGCAUAAUAUCCUAUCAGUAUAAACAUUUAUAACCGCCAGAUGCUGGACUCUGAGCCCCGUUCAGAUACAAAUAACAUCUGGUCUGCUUUCGUAUGGAGCUUCAGCACAAUAUACCCUUGAGAACAAAAUAGACACAAUGUUGAAAAGUAGAACUGCAAACCAAGGGGCUAUUAAAGGAUUUAUUGCACUUUGGGUGUGGUGUCAUAAAUCUGACAAAGUGGAGCAAUGGCUGCCAAAUGUGAAUUUCAACAGCAUGUUGUUUUUAAAGGUUAUAACCCAAAUGAUGUACAUUCGAGUAUUCUUUACAUAAUUAAUCCAGUGUGAAAGUAAGGGGAGAGCUGGAGAAUUUCCAGUUUGGUUUAAAAAUAACUUGGCCGUGGUGAUGAAAGUUUUUUUAGCAUUAAAGCACAGGAAUAUGAGAUUAAUGCUCUUUGUUUUGUUUUUGAAGCUAGCCAAAAGUAUUUAUUUUGAAUUUUCAAAGUUGCUUUGAAAUAAAUAAGUACACACUGAGCAGAGAAUGAAUGGCAAAUUAUUUCAAAAAUCAUUAAGCCAGCUGAAGGCACAAACAGUCAAGGACCACAGUUUUGAAGCACUCGCGCUGCGGAGUCACUAUUACAAACAUGUUAUAAAACAGCUCCAUAUGUUGGCAUAUAUACUUGAAACAGCUUUAAGAAUCCACAUCAUAUCAGAUUGUGCACAUGCAAUCAGUUUUAUUUUGCCGAAUGCAACGUGUUAGCCACAUGUUUCUGGAUUUGUUUCAUCGGCAUUUCAUUCCACAUUCGACUUGUCUAUAGCUUGGUCAUAAACUGGACACUAAUCUCAAUGCUGGAGCACUACCUCCAGUGAAGCAAGGGGAGGUGAUAGCAACUGAGAUUUAGCAUCUCAUGUAUCACUGACCAACUUUGGAAAUGUGCCUAAAUGGUUUCUCAAUUCAACUAGUUUACGCACUACUGAAGGAAUAGAGGAAAUGUGAAAGGAAUAGAAGAAAGUGCAAGGAUGAUGAAGUAAGGUUUUCGGAUCACAUAGAGAUGACUUGCGCCUCUCAGACAAAUCCAAGAUUAGCAGCACUCACGAGAACCGCUUGACUGGUAUUUAAUGAAGGUUUCCUCAGCGACUCACUGCUCAUGGAGUCCUAUGCUAUGAUCACAGCUCCGGUGAGUUUCUUUUUACUGAAACAAGGUAGAAAUACCCACCUUGUGUUAGUUCAUGACACUUUCCCAGCAUCUAACCAACCACCAAUCUGCCAACCCACAGUUUACAGUUUAAUUUAUUGCCACGUGUACCAAGGUAUAGUGAAAUGCUUUUGUUGUGUGCUAUCUAGUCAGGAGAAAGAGAAUGCAUGAUUACAAUCAAGCUAUUUACAGAGUAUAUAUGCAUGAUAAUGGAAUAACCGUUUAGUGCACGAUAAAGCCAACAUAGUCCGAUCAAGGAUGGUCCAAGGGUCACCAAAUAGGUAGAUACUCAUAAUUCUCUUCACUCGCUAAUUCGCUUAUAAGGUCACCGCCUUACCACAAUUAUGCCUGGCCACCCACCACACAAAUAUCAAACAUACGUUAUCUGAUUUCCAUCCUACCAAUUGAUCCGUUCUUACUACGUCAAACCUCCCAGUGACUCCUCAACCUCAAUUGAUUCUGGAUAAAUGUCUACACCCACUACAUCAAUGAAGAUCUCUCUCAUCUGAUCCCAGUAAUCUGCUCCUAUUCCAAUCUCCCACUAACAAAUAAGAAUCCUCUGUCUCUCUAAAUCCCCUCAACAUACACCAGUUGUACACCAGAGGGUGGCACAGUGGUGCUGCGGUAGAGCUGCCGCCUUACAGCGCCAGAGAUCCUGGUUCGAUUCUGACUACGGGUGCUGUCUGUGUGGAGUUUGCACUUUCUCCAUGUGACUCCAUGGAUUUCCCUUGGGUGCUCUGGUUUCCUCCCAGUCUCCAAAGACAUGCAGGAUUGUAGGUUAAUUGGCUUUGGUAAAGUUGUAAAUUGUCCCUAGUGUGUAGGAUAGUGUUCGUGUACAGGGCGGUUGCUGGUUGGUGUGGACUCGGUGGGCCAAAGGGCUUGUUUUUGCACUUUAGAGUCUAAAGUAAAGCCUAAAGUCGGUUUAAUGGUUUUCUUUCUAUUCUCCACAAUGGUGAGGUGUUUUAAGGAAUGGCCUUCAAAAAUGCAAGGCCUUUCCAGUUGUACAUGGUAUCAUGGACCUCCUAUUGAUGGAGGAAGUCAAUGGAUAUUUUUAAGGUGCAGAUUGACAGAUUCUUGAUUAGUAUGGGUGUCAGGGGUUAUGGGGAAAAGGCAGGAGAAUGGGGUUGCGAGGGAAAGAAAGAUCAGCCAUGAUUGAAUGGAGGAGCAGACUUGAUGGGCUGAAUGGCCGAAUUCUACUCCGAGCACUUAUGGAACCUAUGGUGUGUUCUUGAUCAAGGCAUUCACUAACUAGUUGCCUAGCAUAUCUAAAAAGUGUCUUUCAAUUUUUAGGCAAAUAUAUUUUAAAUCUUUUCAGGAGAGCUUUUGAAUACUUACUUUGAUAGGGAAAUGUUGAUCCCAAAUGUUUUAACUGUGGGAGGACUGGGUAUGUCACAGACAAAGGCAGCAUUUUAAUUUCUUGGGUUAUGAAACAGAAAAGCUUUCGAGUCAAUUAUUAUUUCAUAAAUAAAAUAACCAUUACCCUCUAAGUUCACGGUGGCUCAGCUGAAUGUGGGGAAAUAGCAUAUAAAAAAUUCUUUAAUAACACUUUAACAAGCAAAUCCAAGCAUUUAUGUUCCUGUAAUUUAGCUUUCAGGAAUUUAACCUACCUUACUAAAUCUUGUAUGAGAAUAAUUUGUGGCCUAGGGUUGCCUUAUUGACAGUCAGUGUAAAGCACUGACAUCCCUGAACUGUUUAAUUAUUGAAAUGAACUGUAACAGUACACUUGAUUGUUGCUGAGGUCACUUAAUAGCAGUGGAAGUAGAGAGGCAUGCGGCCACUCUACUCCAAUGCACUGCUUCAGGCAUUGUCUCAAACCCACACACUUUUUCUCAGCCGAUCGCACAGACUGCUGCAGAUAGGUAGCCUGAUAUGGGCACCAAUUUACUGUAGUUUGAGGUCUGAUGGUGCUGUCUCGUUUUAAGCUCAGCCAAGAUUGCUCUGGUGACCACUGUGACUCUCUGAUUCCCAUGCCCCUUUGCAUUCCAUUCUAAGAUCCCAAGCAGUCUCUCUCUUCCCUCCCCCCUUGCGUCCUGUCCAGGAUGCAGACAAAUGAAUUUCAGUGACCUAUGUGGAGGCGUAGCUUUGGAAUAAAGAUCUCUCCUGUCCCCACUCUUUCAUUAGCUUCUUCCCUGGAGCCAUUUGCACGAAGUAAAACAUACAGUAGACGCUAAGACUAAUUAUCAAAUUACACUCCGCAAGAGCACUUCAACUGGUAUUUUCAACCUCUUAGAACCUGGUAUUUUCUGUCAUUAUAUAAUUCUAAAUUCUGAUUCUGAACGGUUUUACUGUAUUCCCAAUUGAAAAAAAAAAGGCUCUAAAGUUUCAUUCUUUAAAUAGAAAGUUGACCUUCGGCCUUUCCAAAGUCUGUUGUUACUUUUUUUUCAUUGUUUUUUUGGCUCAGAACAGAGACCCGUACACUAAAGCCUGUGGAUUACAGGAAAUAAUGACCUAUAUGUGCUCAGUUGUUCAAAGGAAAUUAGUCCGGGCUGAUUUUUAUUAUUCUCCAUAGCCUCACAUUCUCCAGUGUAAUCACUCAUGCCGUGGUAUAAUUUACUUUUACAUCAUAGGAAAUGUGUAACUUUCUGUCUAUAUUCUCCCAUGACCAAUCGUGUCCUGUUCCUUGCCUAAACUAACCCUGAUGUGGAAUGUUAGCCUUGCUCGUACAAGACAGUCCAGAAUCAGAGCAACAAAUCUGUUUGCAAAUGUUGGCAAUUGUUUUCCCCAGGUAAUCUUUAUUGACAAUUAAGCCAUAAUCAUCUGUGAGUCACUGCAAAGAUGAUUAACCCUUUCACCACCUUUCACUAUCGAGCAUGUUGCAAUUUUUAACAUGCAAAGUGCUUUCAAGGACUGCCCUAUAUGUAGAACAGCAAAAUAUUUGACAUACUGUAUAUCCUGAUAAUUACACAAUAUGCUUUUGCAGUGAAUCAAGCUUCAUUAUUGUGGUGUGUCAAAUGAUUUGAUUUGGUUAUGGAGACGUGUAAUAUUAAAAUACGAUUCCAGUCCAUUUGUUUUAUUGUAUAAGAAAAUGUAGACGCUGGUCUGAAACAUCGCCUAGCCAUGUUCUCCAUAGAGCGGCACAGCGGCACAGCAAUAGAGUUGCUACCUUACAGUGCUGGAGACCCGGGUUUGAUCCCGACUAUGGGUGUUUUCUGUUCGGAGUUUGUACGUUCUCUCGUGACCAUGUGGGUUUUUCCCGAGAUCUUUAGUUUCCUCCGACACUCCAAAGAUGUACAUGUAUGUAGGUUGGUGUAUGUUGACUUGGUGUAUGUGUAAAUUGUCCCUAGUGUGUAUAGGAUAGUGUUAAUGUGCGAGGAUCGCUGGUCGGUGGGACUCAGUGGGCCGAAGGGCCUGUUUCCAUGUUGGAUCUCCAAAAAAAAGAUGCUGUCUGACCUGCUGAGUCACUCCAACAAUUUGUAUUUCAUUUGCCUUAUAGGUUUAUCAGACAUCACUUAUUUGGUGUUAUUUUAUCUACAAUAGUAUGUUACUUUUGUGUUAAAGUCAAAUUAGCUGCGAUUAUGGCUAGUUCAAAUAUUUUAUACAAAUAUAGUACUACGGCUUUAACAACAUUUGUAUUUAUUUUGUGGUCAGUGAAUUGAAUACUCACAUCUUAACAUGAACCUUGACUUAAGGCCCUGUCCCACCGUACGAUUCAUUCUCCCAAGUUUGCCCUGAUUCGAACUCGGAGAUUUACGGUAAUGGCCACUCGUAGGUGCUCGGGGCUCUCGUGGACAUUUUUCAACAUGUUGAAAAAUCUUCACGAGUCUUCCCGGGCUUACUGCGUUUCACGAUUACCUGCCGUUAGCAUUACGCGCCACUACGAGACAUCCCCGAGCUCCGACGUACCCGCUACGUACAUUCUACGUGGUUCCACGAGUUUGAUUUUUUUUUUUAACUCGGGAGAGCUCUUGAUUGAACUCGUACAGUGGGACAGGGCUUUUACAGAUGUCCUCUGUGUCACUGUAACAACAGAGAAAUAGGACUUUAUACCAGAGAGUGUUAAAUCGUAUCAUAAAUCCUUGGGAAAUGCUCCUUUCACAAUAAAAAUAUCAGGCCCAUGUUAUGAAAUCCAGAUUGUAUACAGGUUUUGCAAAAAAAGAACAAGUAAGUUUACCUUACAGUGCCUAAGACCUGGGUUUGAACUAAACCUGUGGUGCUGUCUAGUUAGUAUGUCUCCUUGCGCUCACUGGGUUUUCUCUGGGUACUCCUGUUUUCUCUCACAUCCCAACGAUAUGUAGAUACAGGGUAUUUUAGGUUUAUUGGCUUCUGUAAAUUGCCCCUAGUGUGUCGGAAGUGGAUGCAAAAGUAAGAUAACAUGGAACUAAUGUGAACGGGAGAUCAAUGGUCGGCGUGGAUUCGGUGAGCUGAAGGGCCUCAGUUUCCAUGCUGUAUCUCCGAACUAAGCUAAACUAAACUCUUCAUAUCACAAGAGUGCCAAACAAUAACCAUAUCCAACAAGAGAGUAUCUUACCAACUACCCACUCCCAACCUGCCACCACUAAAUUGCCAAAGGCAUUACUAUCACAAAAUCUCCCAACUCCAUGAAGACUGCCACUUAAACUGACCUGUCACAUAAACAUAAAAGCAUAUAGCAUUGGAAUUGCCCAUUGGUCCAAAACACCGAUGCUGACCUUUUUGCCCUUCUUACACUAAUCC